GUCAUUCUACCGAGUUUUAGCAACACACCUGUUGCAUCUCUGUUUCCACAUCUGCCUGGGUUACUAACUGAAGAAGCUCAUCUUCAUGAAGACGAACUUGUGUUUCAAAGCGGGCAUCUUUCUCUCGGACCACCUGCUGCAUGGAACUCAACUGAAGACACAUACCAGAGAAACUAUGCAAGUUACACUCCCCUACCUGUGCAGCUUGCUCUGCCUGUGUCUGGCUGAGCUGGGCUUGUAAAGUGCUAAUGAAUUCUUCCUUCUCCUGGAGCUGUUGCUUCAUCAUUACAAAUUCUUCCAUCUCUGUAGAACUCUUAUCA
rnacentral:lncRNA from 1 species